rnacentral:rRNA from 1 species
AUACGGAGGGUGCAAGCGUUAUCCGGAUUUAUUGGGUUUAAAGGGUGCGCAGGCGGAAUGAUAAGUCAGUGGCGAAAUCCUACAGCUCAACUGUAGAACUGCCAUUGAUACUGUCGUUCUUGAGUACAUUUGAGGUAGGCGGAAUGUAUCAUGUAGCGGUGAAAUGCAUAGAUAUGAUACAGAACACCGAUAGCGAAGGCAGCUUACCAAACUGUAACUGACGCUCAGGCACGAAAGCGUGGGGAGCAAACAGGAUUAGAAACCCCAGUAGUCC